CCCUUUAAAGAGUGCGUAAUAGCUCACUGAUCGAGCGCCCUUGCGCUGAAGAUGAACGGGGCUAAGCGAUCUGCCGAAGCUGUGGGAUGUCAAAAUGCAUCGGUAGGGGAGCGUUCCGCCUUAGAGGGAAGCAACCGCGAAAGCGGGGGUCGACGAAGCGGAAGCGAGAAUGUCGGCUUGAGUAACGAAAACAUUGGUGAGAAUCCAAUGCCCCGAAAACCCAAGGUUUCCUCCGCAAGGUUCGUCCACGGAGGGUGAGUCAGGGCCUAAGAUCAGGCCGAAAGGCGUAGUCGAUGGACAACAGGUCAAUAUUCCUGUACUACCCCUUGUUGGUACGGAGGGACGGAGGAGGCUAGGUUAGCCGAAAGAUGGUUAUAGGUUUAAGGACACAAGGUGACCCUGCUUUUUCAGGGUAAGAAUCUAUUAUUCAAAAAAAAGGAAAAAUUGGGUCUAUGUUCAACGGAAAAAAAUUCUCAAGAGCAAGGAAAAGUAUUUUGUUUCCGUUCGCCCUACAGUGGCAUAUGAA
rnacentral:rRNA from 1 species